rnacentral:rRNA from 1 species
AACACGGACCAAGGAGUCUAACGUGCGUGCAUGUCCGAGGGGGCCUAGCAAACCCCGUAGGGCGAAGUGAAAGCGAAGGCGAGAGCAAUCCUCUCACUCAGGCGGGAUCCCGGCUCUCCUACGGAGGGACCGUGGCGCACCGCCGGCCCGUCCGAUGGUCGCUGAGCACGGCCGGACGGAGCUAGAGCACGCCCGUUGGUACCCGAAAGAUGGUGAACUAUGCUUGGGCAGGACGAAGCCAGAGGAAACUCUGGUGAAAGUCCGUAGCGAUUCUGACGUGCAAAUCGAUCGUCUGACCUGAGUAUAGGGGCGAAAGACUAAUCGAACCAUCUAGUAGCUGG